UACAGAGGUCCCAAGCGUUGUUCGGAUUCACUGGGCGUAAAGGGUGCGUAGGUGGUUAGGUAAGUCCGAUGUGAAAUCUCCAGGCUCAACCUGGAAAUGGCAUUGGAUACUAUCUAGCUUGAGGAGUGGAGGGGGGACUGGAAUUCUCGGUGUAGCAGUGAAAUGCGUAGAUAUCGAGAGGAACACCAGUGGCGAAGGCGAGUCCCUAGACACUUCCUGACACUGAGGCACGAAAGCUAGGGGAGCAAACAGG
rnacentral:rRNA from 1 species